UGGGGAAUAUUGGGCAAUGGACGCAAGUCUGACCCAGCAACGCCGCGUGAAGGAAGAAGGCUUUCGGGUUGUAAACUUCUUUUAAGGGGGAAGAGGAGAAGACGGUACCCCUUGAAUAAGCCACGGCUAACUACGUGCCAGCAGCCGCGGUAAUACGUAGGUGGCAAGCGUUGUCCGGAUUUACUGGGUGUAAAGGGCGUGCAGCCGGGAAUGCAAGUCAGAUGUGAAAUCCAUGGGCUUAACCCAUGGACUGCAUUUGAAACUGUAUUUCUUGAGUACUGGAGAGGCAAUCGGAAUUCCUAGUGUAGCGGUGAAAUGCGUAGAUAUUAGGAGGAACACCAGUGGCGAAGGCGGAUUGCUGGACAGCAACUGACGGUGAGGCGCGAAAGUGUG
rnacentral:rRNA from 1 species